rnacentral:piRNA from 1 species
GCGGUAUGCUUUUGCAUUGAUCUGCAGGGU